UGAGGUGAAAACCCAGCUAGGAAGCGGCUGGAGAGCGGGGAAUAGGUAUAGCGGCGCACCGGCUCGCACUUCCGCUUCCGGCUGCGCACCGCAGUAAGUGUAGGGGACCGAACCCCAAGAGCUUUGGAAUGAGGAUGAUGUGAAGCUGAGAGAAGAGCUGGGGCCGCCUCUUCGACACGCGUACAGAAAAGUCCCGUUUUCACGCAUCCAAGGUGGACCAGGAUCCAGAUCAAUCUGUCGAUAUUGGGAACACCGCCGUACCAGGAAACCCAGCGCCAAGGGCCGGGUUGGAGGCGGGGACCGGCCCAGGGGGCGGGGCAUGCGUGGAGGCGUCACCCAAGGCUUGGACUACAGGCAGCGGGAUGCUCAUCGAGUGCUUUUCUUUUCUUUUUUUCUUUUUUUUUUUUUUUUUUGAGACGGAGUCUCGCUCUGUCGCCCAGGCUGGAGUGCAGUGGCGCAAUCUCGGCUCACUGCAAGCUCCACCUCCCGGGUUCACGCCAUUCUCCUGCCUCAGCCUCUCCGAGUAGCUGGGACUACAGGCGCCCGCCACCACGCCCGGCUAAUUUUUUGUAUUUUUAGUAGAGACGGAGUUUCACCGUGGUCUCGAUCUCCUGACCUCGUGAUCCGCCCGCCUCGGCCUUCCAAAGUGCUGGGAUUACAAGCGUGAGCCACCGCGCCCGGCCCUCUUUUCUUUUUUCUUUUUAUUUUUAGUUUUGUGAGAUAAGGCUCCGGUCUGUCGCCUAGGCUGGAGUACAGUGGCUCCGUCAUAGAUCAUUGCAGCCUGGAACUCCUGCGCUGAAGAGAUCCUCCCGCCUCAGCCUCCGGAGUAGCUUGCACCACAGUUGCGCCCAUCACGCCCAGCUAAGUUAUCUUUUUCUAGAAACUUGGGUCUCACUAUGUUCCCUAGGCUGGUCUCGAACUCCUGAGCCUAAAGGAUCCUCCCCUUUUGGCCUCCCUAGUAGCUUGGACCGCAGCAUACAAUUCGACCACCCCGUCUGGGAAGUGAGGAGCGCCUCUGCCCGGCCGCCCCAUCUGGGAAGUGAGGAGCGCCUCUGCCUGGCCGCCCAUCGUCUGGGAAGUGAGGAGCGCCUCUGCCUGGCCACCCAUCAUCUGGGAAGUGAGGAGCGCCUCUACCCAGCUGCUGUGCAACCUUCCAAGUGUGAAGUGACAGCCUUCAUUGUAGAAUGAAUGAAGACACUGGCACUGAUUAUAUAACACCUUGGCAGCUAUCUAAAGUCAUUGAUGGUGGAGGUAUUGGAAUUUUAGAAGAAAGCAAACACACAAAUUUGACUAAAGGCGAUUUUGUGACUUCUUUCUAUUGGCCCUGGCAAACCAAGGUUAUUCUGGAUGGAAAUAUAUCAGCCUUGAAAAGGUGAUAUAUAUAUAUGAACGCAUCUGAUUUUUUUCCCCGUAUAAUUCUUACUUUGUGCAUUUGAUAUUCAGUUGUGUUUGUAAUCACGGAAAAAUAAAAGCAUAUAUAAAAAGAAAAAAAAACAAUUAUAGCAUAAAAUUAA